rnacentral:rRNA from 1 species
UACGGAGGAUCCGAGCGUUAUCCGGAUUUAUUGGGUUUAAAGGGUGCGUAGGCGGCCUGUUAAGUCAGGGGUGAAAGACGGUAGCUCAACUAUCGCAGUGCCCUUGAUACUGAUGGGCUUGAAUGUACUAGAGGUAGGCGGAAUGUGACAAGUAGCGGUGAAAUGCAUAGAUAUGUCACAGAACACCAAUUGCGAAGGCAGCUUACUAAAGUAUGAUUGACGCUGAGGCACGAAAGCGUGGGGAUCAAACAGG